CCCAUCCUGUUUCCACUUCUACAGCAUUUCCUUCUUUAAAUUAUUAGUAGCAAGGCAAAGAAGAAGCUCUUUCUCCUACUUGAAAAGAGAGACGGUUGUCACCUUGCCACUUGACUAACAAGAAGCCUUGUCUUUAAUAUGGUCUCACCACGGGCAAGCUGUGUGACCUUGGCCCUCAUUGCAAAUGCAAUUUUGAUGCCCUUGAUGAGAGAUCUGGGAUUACAAUUCCUGACCAUUUCAACAGACAUUUGGGGAAGGAAAUGGAAGAAGAAUAAUUUUGAGGUCUCUCCAAAAACCAAAGGAGAAUAAAAGAGAAAUUCAACCGGAGCCGCAGAAGCUGCGACAAGGAUGAGCCGGAUCCUCUAAGCUUGCCAGGAAAGCUGAUUCCCACCCCACCCCCACGGUUCCCAGAGGAGCAACCGGUUCAUUCCACCACCACCCCCCGCCAGCCCCAGGACGUUGGCUCUGCGGGUGCCCCCCACCCAGCCGCCGGGCGCCUGGGACCCGGUUGGAAAAACUGCGGUGCAGUCAGCCGGAGGCAAAGGGUGGGGGCAGCCGUUUAAUCACCGCUCGCCUCGCCUCCAUUAACUUGUAUUGAUAUUAAAAAGAAAUCAAUCAGUGAAAAUGAA